rnacentral:lncRNA from 1 species
GCUCAGGCAGCCCCAUGGGGAAAGCGCCAGGAUCUGCCAGGAGUCAGAAGGAGGGGGUGUUUAAGACUUAAUGGAAGUGACCAAAGAAAACCACAGAAACCGGUUCCUGGAAGGAGCUGCCUGCCCUGGUUGCCAGAGCCUAUAGCUGGGUCUAGAAUCUUCCACCCCUGGGUAGAGGCUGCCUACUGGUGUGUGACAAACAUAGCUGGGACAUGGAGUCCCUGCCUCAGGGUCUCUGAAACGUUGUGUGGCCUGAUUUGAUUGUGCAUUUCCUCAGCAGCCCAAGCCAGCAUUUUCUGGGGACAUUUUUGCCUGAUUGUGAAGGUGUUUUCUUAGUGACCACAGAAGUACAUUUUCUCCAGGCUAGGAAAUGAAAGAGGCAAAGUGCUUUAAAGAGGCAAAGUGCUUUAAAGUGUAGGCCUGGCACAGUGGCUUAUGCUUGUAAUCCCAAGACCAGGAGGCCAAGGCAGGAGGAUCGUUUGGGCCCAGGAGUUCAAGACCAGCCUGGGCAAUAUAGUGAGACCCUCAUCUCUACAAAAACUAAAAAAUAAAAAUAAGUAAAAAUAAAUGUUAACACAGAGGAGGCAUAGGCAUCACACAGAGAGGGGUUCGAAUCCCAGUUCCUCCACUUGCAACCUUCAAAAUCACAGACAAAACACUUAUCCUCCAGGAGCUUCCAUCUCCCUGUGUGUCAAAUGUGCGCUGCAAUGUGCUUGACAUGUAAAGAGACCAUCUAUCAGGUGCUAAGGCUACUGCAGCAAAGCACCGCCAACCUGUGGCUGCAGCAACAGACAUUUAUCGCCUCACGCUUCUGGAGGCUGGAAAUCUGAAAUCAGGGUGUAGGCAGGGAUGGUUCCUUCUAAGAGCCAUGAAGAAGAAUUUGCUCCAGGCCUCUCUCCCUGGUUUGCAGAUGGCGGCCUUCUCCCUGUGCCUCUACAUAUCAUGUUCUCUCUAUGCGUGUCUCUGCGUGCAAAUGCACCCUUUUUAUAAGGACAGCUGUCAUUUUGGGUUAUGGCCCACCCUAUUUACUCAUUUUAACUUUAUUACCUCUGUAAAGAACCUGUCUCCAAAUAAAGUCACAUUCUGAGGAAUAGGGGGUUAGCAUUCCAACAUAUAUUUGGGAGGGGGGUGAGCAUAAAUCAACCCCCAACAGGUAAAUGUGGCUUUCUAAAGAAAAUUGUCUUAAAAACCAUAUUUAAAGGAAAUGAAUAUUUGAGUUGUUUCUGUUGUCCAUCCUUUGAGGAAAAUGUCCCUUCUCAUGAAGCUUCCAGAAGGAAGAGGGAAGCACAGAAUGCCUCUUGAGGUCUACGAAUAAGUAAAAUAUGAACUGUAAAUAAAGCAUGUGUCAUGGUUUAAGGGCAGCCGUGGGGCUACAUAAAGUAAUGUGGAAUCUCACAAUCAAUGGCAUGUUGGUUUAGUGAAAUGCAUUUUUUUUCCCAUUCUAUCUUCACAGAUUUCUCUGCUUUUCCAAUUAUCUAAAAAUGAUCUCAUGCCUAUGUUUCCAAUGGCCAAGGGAAUAAUUUAGGAAGGCUAACAGAAUUCCUUCAGAGCAGGCACCUUAAAAUAAUGCCGGCCAAUAGUAAAUGCCAUGUGCAUGUCAACUAUUAAAAUUAUUUAAGGCCGAGGUGGAAGGAUUGGAGUUCAAGACUAGCCAGGGCAACAUAGCGACACCUCAUCUCUACAAAAAAUAAAAGUUAAAAAAAAGUUAGCCAGUGUGGUGGCACAUGCCUGCAAUCUCAGCUACUCAGGAGGCUAAGAUGGGAGGAUCACUAGAGUUGGGGAGGUCGAGGAUGCAGUGAGCCGUGAUUGUACCACUGCACUCCAGCCUGUGCAACAAAGCGAAACUGUUUCUAAAAAAUAAAACUCUCUCCUGCCUCUGCCAGGAGAGAGCUUGUUCCUCCAACCCCAGGAGGCCAGGCAAGCAUGGACAGGAGCCAAGGGAGCAGGGUCAUGAACUUUUUCAUCUUUGCAAAGUGGGCACUUGGCAUCAGGGUCCCAUCACCAGAAAGCACCAAAGCCCCUGG